UGGGGAAUAUUGGACAAUGGGCGAAAGCCUGAUCCAGCCAUGCCGCGUGUGUGAAGAAGGUCUUCGGAUUGUAAAGCACUUUAAGUUGGGAGGAAGGGCAGUAAGCGAAUACCUUGCUGUUUUGACGUUACCGACAGAAUAAGCACCGGCUAACUCUGUGCCAGCAGCCGCGGUAAUACAGAGGGUGCAAGCGUUAAUCGGAAUUACUGGGCGUAAAGCGCGCGUAGGUGGUUCGUUAAGUUGAAUGUGAAAGCCCCGGGCUCAACCUGGGAACUGCAUCCAAUACUGGCGAGCUAGAGUAAGGAAGAGGGUGGUGGAAUUUCCUGUGUAGCGGUGAAAUGCGUAGAUAUAGGAAGGAACACCAGUGGCGAAGGCGACCACCUGGGCUCAUACUGACACUGAGGUGCGAAAGCGUGGGGAGCAAACAGG
rnacentral:rRNA from 1 species